CAACUUUUAACGGUGGAUCUCUUGGCUCGUGCAUCGAUGAAGAACGCAGCCWGGUGCGAUAAGUANUGUGAAUUGCAGAAUUCAGUGAAUCAUCGAAUCUUUGAACGCAAAUGGNGCUCUUGG
rnacentral:rRNA from 1 species